UACAAAGGAUGUCGGAAUGUUCUUGCGCUCCAAAGGAGGCAGCGGAGCGGGGGUCGGGAGACGUGUGGGGCGCGGGGGCAGGGAGAUGAGCGGCGGCGCGGGGCCAGGGAGACGAGGCGCCACGGGUAGGAGCGAGACGGCAGCGGCUUAGACCUGCUCUAGCCGUCCUAGACGGCGUAGAGGGCACUGUAGGUUGGCGUCGACGAGCAGCCGGUACGCCCCUCCUGCUUGCUCGACGAGCAGCCGUAGGCAGGGUGCCGGGGCGAUUUCUACCGCGGGUUGGGGGAGCUGUCGCGUACGGAGGAUGAACGGCGGACCCACGUUUGCCGCUGUUGCUCAUCCGCCGUUCGUAUGAUGCGGUUCUUCGUUAUGUCCCCGUACUUCGUUCGCUCUUCCACACGUGCCGCUGGACGAUGACGUGAUUAUCAUCGGAACUGCCUCGUGGCUCCGGCCGAGCUGUCCCGUACGGCGGACAGCCAUCUGUUGACCAACACACACUGCCUCUACUUGGGGAGCAGCAGCGGAGAUAGCGACGAUCCCUACUUGGGACGCAGACACGACCACUACCGCGAGAGGUAGAUGAAAGAGGUGACCGAUAUUCUCUCAUCUCUGGUGUAGCACCUACACAAAAAGAAGUCUCUACACGGGGCAGCAAGAAGUGACAGCUUAAACGUUACGUUAGACAGGGAUACAACCACAGAAUUGUUGAAGCAGGAGGGUGUGUUACUCUUCUUCUUUCGUCGCCGACGUUAAAUGGAUAACUAAAGAACCUCACUAAGUUUGGAUCCUUCAGACGAUGAACACGUUCGUUGUACUGUCCUCAAUGAGGUCCAGUCAUACAUAUGUAUGUCUACGUUCGUUACCUCUUUGAGUACGUCUACUACUACUUCUUUAAAAGUGCUUAAAAGGUUGGACUUAACCGAUGUCUCCAACCCUUUUCUCCUCAGGUCCGAGACUACUUGUGUAGAAGAAAGCGUCCAUGUUUAAGUUGAUGUGGUCCUGAUAAAAAAAUAAUCAGGAGCUCACAAACAACCUUACUCUACUGUGUACCAUACGGUCCGUUGUUCGUUGACUUCGUUCUUCUAAAAACAUUAAAGAACCUUACUCGGGGACUUGGGUCCUACCGUUUCCUAGGUUAUACAGUCCUGGUUACUCCUUUAACGUCUCGAAGUAUAAGUCAAAUAAAAUCCACGAACGGAUGAAGUUCACAGAUAUAAUGUCCUUUGUACAAAGAAGUUCACAGAUGUGUGAUGUUCUGCGGACGGGAAUGGUAAAUGGUCCACCACUGAACGGCCUCCUCGGCCACCACGGCGACGCUAGAAGAGGCCCGCUACCAGGUACUACGUUCGAUUUUGGCCCACGCGUACCCCCUCAACCCCGCUACCGAGCCAAGUCACGUGCCCUAGCCUAAUUGAAACAAAAGAGUAUCCAUGGACGCAGACCAUAGCAAAGAGACACCCCAAUGGUUUGCUGAGAGAGAAGAAUUAACUCUACGGUGUAGUCAAAAGUUGAAUGUACCGUCCGAAUCUUGGUAGGUCCCACCUCGUGACCCUCGUAGGAAUAUCUUCAUUACGUUAUAUAAGAGAGAGAAUAAAGAUGAACUUUAUGAUAACACCCAGACAUGAAACGGAUAGUAUAACGUUACUAUUGUGUAACAUACGGAUAAGAGAAUUGACAUCAUUCCUACUUCGUCCUUUCACACAACCUGGAAGAUUGUACCUAUAACAUGUACAUGCUCGAUACCCGG
rnacentral:rRNA from 1 species